UGGUGACACUGAUCGCCCCGGGCUGGAUGAACACACCUCUAAAACUGUAAAAAAAAAAUCUUGAGGACUGUGAAGCGUCUGGUGGACUUUACUGCACAAUUGAAGGGUUGACUAAAGCUCUUGGAUCAGUUGCAAGCUUGCAAUUAUGGAACUUAAUGGGCUUUUCUCUGCCUGUGCCAUCCCUCUUCACUCGGGAGAGCUCCAGUCUGAAAUCUUCUGACAUGCACUGUGAGGAGAGUGAGGUGAAAAGGGAAGAUGCAAUGGAAGUCAGUUCUCCGCAAGAAACGUAUGUUGCCCAGUUUGAAUCGGAGUACAUCAACCAUUG